GCCGGGGUGGCGUAGUUGGUAGCGCGUCGGACUCAUAAUCCGAAGGUCGCGGGUUCGAGCCCCGCUCCCGGCA
rnacentral:tRNA from 2 species